ensembl:lncRNA
UCUCCCCCUCUCACCUUUUCUUCUCAUUUGUGGAGUUCAGUGCACAUCACAUCAGCUGUAUGUGACCAGGCGAAAGAACCUUUCCAAGUGGUGUGUUACAGUAAAACAGGGACUAAUCCAUACUGGACCAAUGCUGCCUCCAGGAUACAGUAUGUCUGUCUAAUGCACCCCAAUGCAGCACCAGAGCAAUUUGGGCAUAAUUUGGAGCUCACACCAGAGUCCAAAAGUCCAGAAGAAGCGCAGGGUGAGUGGGCGCCAGGCAGGCAGCUCUGCUCUGUGGGUCCAGAGAGACAGGCUCCAGCCAGCACUGUGAGAGAGAGGCUGAACUUGGUUCUGCUCCGGUUCUGGUGCUGGCUCACCGGCAGGCCCCCGCGGCUCGGGCCCCGCUCCAGGAUGGGCGGCAGCAGAGCGGACAAAGGAGCUCAGUCUCUACAGGGG